AGGGACUGGAACUGACACCCAUCUUUGGCUUCACUUUUUGAACUUGAAUUCUCACUCCAGAAAUAUAUGGAGCUCACUUUCUUGGGCAGACUGAGAGGUAUUUCAACUUCUGCAGUUUGAAAAUAGUCCUUACUGUAAGCCCAUUUUACUGUCGGCUGAAAGCCUUGAUAAGUAGAUUCUGCAGUUUGAAAAUAGUCCUUACUGUAAGCCCAUUUUGCUGUUGGCUGAAAGCCUUGAUAAGUACAGUAAUGAGCUAGCUGCAAGCACUGCAUCAAACUGAAAAGAGCUUGCAGUUGAAAAUUUACUAUAGCAAAGCUGCCAUUGCAACUGGUAACAUCAACAAAAUUAUGUAGUCUUAAG